rnacentral:rRNA from 1 species
CGCAUCUGUGCAUGCAGCAUAUCAAUAAGCGGAGGAAAAGAAACUAACAAGGAUUCCCUCAGUAACGGCGAGUGAAGCGGGAAGAGCUCAAAUUUGAAGUCUUGAAAGGUCACCUUUCACGAAUUGUAGUUUAAAGAAGUGUUUUCUGUUACGAUCGUAAUAUAAGUUCUUUGGAAUAGGACAUCACAGAGGGUGAGAAUCCCGUCUAUGAUUGCGAUUUGUAGCUUUGUGAUACACUUUCAAAGAGUCGGGUUGUUUGGGAAUGCAGCCCAAAACGGGAGGUAAAUUUCUUCUAAGGCUAAAUAUCGGCGAGAGACCGAUAGCGAACAAGUACCGUGAGGGAAAGAUGAAGAAGAACUUUGAAAAGAGAGUUAAAUAGUACGUGAAAUUGUCAAAAGGGAAGCGUUUAACACCAGUGUUGUUUUCUGAAGAUCAACCUCUGUUAGCUUUAUGCAUGUUUGUUUAGACCUAAUCAGCUAUCUUGCAUGUUCUAUUGUUUGCAGUGGUGCACUUUUCAGUUUACAGGUCAACAUCAGUUUUUUUUACCGUAAAAAAGUUAAAGAAAGGUAGCUCAUGGCUCCGGUCGUGAGUGUUAUAGUCUUUUUCCUAUGCGGUAGGAGAGACUGAGGUCUGCAGUGUAGGCUAUUUGGCUAGAUACUCAGGUGCUAUGUGAUACCAUUUCAUAAACAACUUGUUGAUUAUGUUUUGUCUAUUGCAUACUCGCUUGUACUAUCAUACCUACGCUUAGGAUGUUGAAGUCAUCGUAUCGCGC